rnacentral:rRNA from 1 species
AUUGAACGCUGGCGGCAUGCCUAACACAUGCAAGUCGAACGGCAGCACGGCAGUAGCAAUACUGUGGGUGGCGAGUGGCGGACGGGUGAGGAAUACGUCGGAAUCUGCCCAGUCGUGGGGGAUAACUAGCCGAAAGGUUAGCUAAUACCGCAUACGACCGAGAGGUGAAAGCGGGGGACCGCAAGGCCUCGCGCGAUUGGAUGAGCCGACGUCGGAUUAGCUAGUUGGAGGGGUAAAGGCCCACCAAGGCGACGAUCCGUAGCUGGUCUGAGAGGAUGAUCAGCCACACUGGAACUGAGACACGGUCCAGACUCCUACGGGAGGCAGCAGUGGGGAAUAUUGGACAAUGGGCGCAAGCCUGAUCCAGCAAUGCCGCGUGUGUGAAGAAGGCCUCGGUGUAAGACGACUUUAUCUAGACGAAAGACG